rnacentral:rRNA from 1 species
UACGUAGGGGGCAAGCGUUGUCCGGAGUUACUGGGCGUAAAGCGCACGCAGGCGGUCGCGUAAGAGUGCGGGGACAGUGGGCGGCUUAACUGCCCAAGGGUCGCACAGACUGCGUGACUGGAGGGCCAGAGAGGGACCUGGAAUUCCGGGUGGAGCGGUGAAAUGCGUAGAGAUCCGGAGGAACACCUGUGGCGAAAGCGGCUCACUGGACCACAACUGACGCUGAGGCGCGAAAGCUAGGGGAGCAAACAGGG